UACGUAGGGUGCGAGCGUUAAUCGGAAUUACUGGGCGUAAAGCGUGCGCAGGCGGUUUUGUAAGCCAGAUGUGAAAUCCCCGGGCUUAACCUGGGAAUGGCAUUUGGGACUGCAAGGCUUGAGUGCGGCAGAGGAGACUGGAAUUCCUGGUGUAGCAGUGAAAUGCGUAGAUAUCAGGAGGAAUACCGAUGGCGAAGGCAGGUCUCUGGGCUGACACUGACGCUCAUGCACGAAAGCGUAGGGAGCAAACAGG
rnacentral:rRNA from 1 species